rnacentral:rRNA from 1 species
CCCUUAGACACUCUAGGCGGCACGCGCGCUACAAUGGGUGGAAGAACGUGUUACUGCCUCCGAAAGGAGGGGUGAAUCACGAAUUCUUGCCCGUGAAUGGGAUAGUUUGUUGCAAUUUUCGGACUUGAACUAGGAAUCCCUUGCAAACAUGCUCAAGAAUAGCGUGUUGAAUACGUCCCUGCCGUUUGUACACACCGCCCGUCGUUUCUUCCGACUGAUACUCAUUGUGAGUUGCAAGGACCCUUUAUUGGGAAAUUGCUGCAAAUGCUUUGUAUUGGAGGAAGAAAAAGUCGUAACA